rnacentral:miRNA from 1 species
AAGCCUGCCCGGCUCCGCGGG